rnacentral:rRNA from 1 species
ACGGGGGGUGCAAGCGUUGUUCGGAAUUAUUGGGCGUAAAGCGCGUGUAGGCGGCUUGACAAGUCAGAUGUGAAAUCCCUGGGCUUAACUCAGGAAGUGCAUUUGAAACUGUCAGGCUAGAGUAAGGGAGAGGGAAGUGGAAUUCCUGGUGUAGAGGUGAAAUUCGUAGAUAUCAGGAGGAACACCGGUGGCGAAGGCGGCUUUCUGGCCCUAUACUGACGCUGAGACACGAAAGCGUGGGGAGCAAACAG